UACGGGGGGGGCAAGCGUUGUUCGGAAUUACUGGGCGUAAGGAGCUCGUAGGCGGUGUGUCACGUCGGCCGUGAAAACCUGCAGCUUAACUGUGGGCGUGCGGUCGAUACGGGCAUCACUGGAGUUCGGCAGGGGAGACUGGAAUUCCUGGUGUAGCGGUGAAAUGCGCAGAUAUCAGGAGGAACACCGGUGGCGAAGGCGGGUCUCUGGGCCGAUACUGACGCUGAGGAGCGAAAGCGUGGGGAGCAAACAGG
rnacentral:rRNA from 1 species